rnacentral:snoRNA from 13 species
CCGUUCUUGUGUUAUUCGCUGAACUCAUUUACCUAGUUCAGCGAUUGUCAAACAGAACGCAGAAUAAAGCAUUACUCCACGAUGUUAAGCUCAUUACUGCCAGAGCUCUUACAUUACUACAAAUUCCUUGCGACAAAA